rnacentral:rRNA from 1 species
UACGUAGGGUGCGAGCGUUGUCCGGAAUUAUUGGGCGUAAAGGGCUCGUAGGCGGUUUGUCGCGUCGGGAGUGAAAACCCAGGGCUUAACCCUGGGCUGGCUUUCGAUACGGGCAGACUAGAGGUAUGCAGGGGAGAACGGAAUUCCUGGUGUAGCGGUGAAAUGCGCAGAUAUCAGGAGGAACACCGGUGGCGAAGGCGGUUCUCUAGGCAUUACCUGACGCUGAGGAGCGAAAGUGUGGGGAGCGAACAGG